UUAUAAAAUAUAUGCGGUAUAGUCUUUUGUGAAGUUUUCGUUAGGAUUAAACUUUGACGAUUACGAUGCAUAUUGGAAUCGCCAUGAUGGUUAUGGUUGGCACUUGCGUGUUUUCACUUCCGGUAGUCAGAUCCAUGGUUAUUCCGCAACAGAAGUGCACGUGCGUUCACGCUGGUCUGACAUACCAAGUCGGUGAAACCAUUGUUAUUCACUGCGACAACUGCGUCUGCCAACCAGGAAAGAUCGUGUGCCCGGAGCUAGCUAACUGUGUCCGUGACUGCUUCCACAAGGGAGAAACCCACAAGGACGGGGAUGUUUGGUAUGUUAAAGAAACAUGUGAUAAGUGCACUUGUGCAGAUGGGGUUACUACAUGUGCUCAAUACAGAUUUUGUAUUACAGAACAGUAAGUUUUGGUAAGAGGCCCUUACAUUUUUGUUUAGCAAUGUUUUUUUAUUUUGCUAUAAAUAUAAUCAACAGUCGAGACUCGAGUUUAAUUUAAAUUCUAAAAGGAUUUUGUUAUUUUUACAUUAAUGACUCUGAUUAGAGCCUUUUCUGAUGAUUAGAUCCCUGAACA